GACGAACGCUGGCGGCGUGCUUAACACAUGCAAGUCGAACGGAAAGGCCCUGCUUUUGUGGGUUGCUCGAGUGGCGCACGGGUGAGUAACACGUGAGUAUCCUGCCCUUGACUUUGGGAUAUCUCCAGGAAACUGGGGCUCAUACCGCAUAGGAUCUACUGCUGCAUGUUGGUGGUUGGAAAGUUUCGGCGGUUGUGGAUGGUCUCGCGGCUUAUCCGCUUGUUGGUGGGGUAGUGGCUUACCAAGGCUGUGAGGGGUAGCCGGCCUGGGAGGUGGACCGGCCACAAUGGGACUGAGAUACGGCCCAGACUCCUACGGGAGGCAGCAGUGGGGAAUAUUGCACAAUGGGCGGAAGCCUGAUGCAGCAACGCCGCGUGCGGGAUGACGGCCUUCGGGUUGUAAACCGCUUUGGCCUGAGACGAAGCGUGAGUGACGGUAAUGGGUAAAGAAGCACCGGCUAACUACGUG
rnacentral:rRNA from 1 species